UGUGAGGAGAUGUGCCAUGGUGGGGUGUGAGGGGAGAUGUGCCGUGGUGGGGUGUGAGGGGAGAUGUGCCAUGAUGGGCCGUGAAGGGAGAUGUGCCAUGGUGGGGCUGUGCAUUGUCAUCAUGGCCCAGGUGGGCUGGGGAGCUCUGUGUCCAGGCAGCAGGGAAUGUGAGGAAAGACAAACCUCUCCUGGUUAAGGCUGCACUCUGAUUGAAGUACUUGAGGGCAUGUCUCACCUCUGCCCAGCUGAGCAAAGAGAGGGCUGAUACCCAGCAGUUCCUGGUCCAAAAUGAAAACUCUCCAUGCCAUUGCAGCUCAACAAGGUUUUCCUUCCUGUGUGUGAGCCCAGGGGCUGACGAAAGUCAGGCUGGUCUGCAGGUAGAGCUGCCCCUGUUCACUUUUCCAAGAGGAAAAUGUUUCAUGAAAUCAGGAGUACACAUCCCUGUCCCAGAACACUGCUGUGUGCACCUUCCUGCUGGAGGUGUGUGUCUUCAGUGUUCCAGUGGGAAGAGAACAAAUAGUGGGAAGAUGAACUAAAGAAACAGGAGUGCCCAGGGCAGAUGACACCGAGCUCUCCCCAGGGGAUAACAAGAGUGCCUUGGAGCUGUCCAAAGGGAAAAUGCCACCAUUCCCUCCCCAGGGGCCAAGCAGAGUGACCAGCAGGCAUCCCAGGGCCAAGACUACCACAGGGAAGAGCUGUCCCAAGGGGGGAGUGACAGUGACGAGGAGCUGUCCCAACAGGAUAACAGCAGCAACAACCAGCUUUGCCAAGAAGAAGGCAAAUACGACAAAGAGCUGUCUUUGGGGAAGACUGUCAUGUCCAAGACAUGUCCCCAUGGCAGCAGAUGAGGACAAAGGGCUCUCCCAGUGGGAAGCAGAUGAGGACACAGCUCUGCUGAGGGCACAGGGCAGUUCCAGGGAACUGUCCCAAAGGAGGCAAACAGCGCCCAGGGAGCUGCUGCCUGUCUGGAGGAAGCAGCUCCCUCAUCCCUCUGUGCUGGAGGACAACAGAAAUUAUUGAGAAGAUGAACAAGGAGAAGGGGACCCCCAGUUCUCCUUUUUGUCUUUUCCACACCAAAGGAGACUCCUGCCAUGGGAAAUGGAAUUGUCCAUGGUGGAGCUGCCCUGCAGGGCUCCAGCCCAGAGGAGAGGCCUGGGCCACAUCAGGUGUGCUCCCAGCUGCAGCUUGGCACUUCAAAGCUGUGCCAAGAGGGGAACACUGGAGAGAAAAGAGAUGAUCCAGAGCCACACUGCAUCUGUCUCCUCUCACUCACUGCUCCCAGAGGAGGUUCUGGAUAAACAAUGCAGGGCAAGCCAAGGAGAUCAGGAGGAACUCUGAUUUGACUCCUUGUGUGCUGCCAUGCAGCCUGGGAAAGGAGAGGUGCUUUUGUGCGCGGCUGAAGCGUGUGAGUCCUCCGGGAGCUCCACAGCCAUUGGGAAGCCUUGGAGCCAGCUGCUGGUUUUUAUCCUGAUGGAGCUCAGGUUUGCUUCAAUGGUUCCACAUUAAAGAAGAGCACAGGAAACAAAUUUAAAAGUUUAAAAAGAAUGAGGACAACAAGUGACAAAACUGUGCCCAGCUCCAGCAGCUCCCUGGGUGCUGUCCCUGUGCCAGGAGCAGAGAUCUUGAGGGAAGAGCGACUCAUCUGCAGAUUUCCUGACUCCAUCUCCCUCUUCUCCAGCAUUCUCAGAAAUGUGACAGCACACAGGAUCAUACAAAUCCUACCGACAGUAAAAUUUUUCUCUGGUUUUCUUAAAAGAGAAAAGGAAAAGGAAAUGAAUCCGUACCAUUUGUUUGGCAAAAAGCAAAAUGUGCACAAAAAAGCCAAGCAAUGUGCAUGUAGGACAGGAGUGGAGAGGCUGAACAAAGCAAGAGCACAGAGCAAACCCUCAGAGCAAUUUCUCCUGAUUCCCAGCUUCUCCCUGUUUCAAGAGCUUUGACUGCUGGAUUUGAAUGAACUAAGAUCUCACUGUGACAAGCAGAGCAGUCUGGAACCAGGCACUGCUGUUGCAGUCAGACUCUGGAGUUGUCACAUCUCAGUUUUGAGAAGGUAUGUAAGAAAAAACUCCAUUACCCACAAUGUUUCCCACCCCAAUCCUCCUCACACAUAACAAAAAGUAACUGAAUUAUUUUUAAAGGGUAAAAAAAUUGCACAAUGAGCAUUGACAAAGUGCCCUCAUAAAAACUCACAUUGAGAAAAUACUGAAUAAUUAAGUGCAUCUAGAAAAAAGCCUGCUGCAAUGACUCAGCUGUUUGGCUCAGUGUCAGCUCAGAGUCAGGCUCUGUGCCCCAGGUGCCCAAGUCCUUGCCCAGCUCUGAGCCUCUCUUGGCUUUCCAGCCCAGCUCUUUCUAUCAGCUCUGCCCCAGGCAGGCUCUCAGCAUCUCUGAGCCAAGGCCAGCCUGGGGAUGGUUUUAUUUUACAGCACUUCCAAGUGCAGGGGCUGCCCAGGGAGCUUGGCAGUGCCCAUCCCUGCAGGUGUCCCCUGCAGGUGGCACUGAGUGCUCUGGGCUGGGGACAGGGUGGCCAUGGGGCACAGCUGGCACUGCCUGGGCUGGGAGGGCUGUGCCAGCACCAGGGAUUUGGGAAUUCUGUGACUCCAGGAAGCUCAGUUCUUUCUGGGAAGCUGGCAGUGCUGAUGUGCCACCGAGCUCCAAGGGCAGUGACAAUGUCACCAGGGCAUGGGCAGAGCCUGUCCUCCAUGCACAGGCACAGGAUGAGCUUCCCCUUUAGCACUGGGCUGCGUAUGAGGGACUCAUUGGAUCUCUGUGAGCCAAACUCCAGCCUUUCCCCAUCAAUGUUUGAGUAACCCCUGCUGGCACUUGGCAGGAGUUCAGUGCUGUGCAUCCGGGGGGGGUGGGACAUCCCAAGCCGUGGGGCUGGGAAGGUGCUCGUGCUUAUUCUGUCACAAUUCCCCAAACCAGGGCAAUCCUACAGGCUGCUACAGCACCUCCCUGGCAGUGUCCAAGGUUGGAUGGGGCUUGGGACAGUGCAAGGUGUCCCUGCCCAUGGCAGGGGUGGCACUGGAUGGGCUUUAAGGUCCCUUCCAACCCAAACCAUUGUGGGAUUCUCUGAUGUCUGUGACAGGGGUUUCAGUCUGAGAGGGCCCCUGAGUGAAGGGUCCCCCACUUCCAGCACCAAAUGAGCCUCAGGCAGCUGCAGCUCCUUGGGGCUCCCUCCAAAUCCCUGCCCAAGGUUCCUGCAUUCCACCACGAGAUUUUUUUGGUCCUGUUGGCCAUUUCAGCUGUCACUGUAAUUGAUGCUGGUGAAAUGACACUAUUAACAAACAAAGUGAUGCUACUUGUGAAACACUGAAAUGAAUGUUCACCCUGUUGGCAGCACUGAGUAAAAUUAGGACAGCAAUAAAAGGUUAGACAAUGACAUUUAAUGGUACUCCAGUAAUAGAUUUUAUCACUUUUUUUAUCCUACCACAACAAUGUGUAUUUUCAUAUACAUUAUAUUUAAUAAAAUGUAUUGAUAUGGAAUUAGGAAAGCAUGGGUUUAGUACUAUUUACAUAUUUUAAUUGAAACAAUUUUCUUAACAACAUUGAAAAAUAGAAACUUAAAGUUCUCUUAAUCGUGUUUUCAGCCAGUUAGUGGUAAACAAAUGCAUGCCUAGGAAGUCACACUCCCUCUAAAAUGUGGUCAGUUGAAAGUUUCUAACUAAAGUGUGUAUCUCUGUUUUGUUUCAAAAAAUACAUAAGUAUGUCUGUCAUUUCUGAUACAAAAUUCUACACUAUCUUCAAUAAAUAAAUAAUAAAGCGAUUCUGAAAAGUAUGAAA